UGAAUAUUUUCUGUUCCAUGCACUCCAGAAACAAAAUCUUGCAGGUUUCACUUCUGUGAGCAUAGAAACAGAGAAAAAUGCAAAAAAAAAAAAAAGGUGGGAGGAAAGCAAGAACAAAUCCAGUUCAAUCUGCAAGGAGUAAAAGUAAAAAGGGGUCCGCCACAGCAUUGAAUGUUGUCAGGGGACCACAAGUCCGUUUCCUUUCAAGGGCAUAAAAAGAAGGAAUUUGUGAGCUUUGGGCUCGGAUUUGAGAAAACAAUUCUCCAAGUUAUUUUUAGUGGCUACCUCAGAUUUUUCUUUUCAAGUGUUGAACAAAUAAGGUAAAUCUGAAAGAAACGAUUCACCCUCUGGAGUGUUGGCGUCACGCAUAUAAAUACGAGGUGUUGGCCCAAAUCCGGAAAGACGCAUCGCACUACCAGCGCCAGGAUGGGAUUUCUGCUGAGCACAGCCGUGUUUUUGGUGGCCUCGUAUCUGCAUGGCUGGGCCACCGCCGGGAGCACCUGCCCAGACGUGCAGGUCAUUGGACUCAAUGAGAAGGACAGGCUGACGGUCCUGCAGGGAUGUCCAGGGCAGCACGGCAGCAAAGGGGAUUCCGGUGAACCCGGCCAGAAAGG